ACUAGGCUAUAGACUGUUAGAGAGAUGAGUAAAAAAAGGGACAAGAACAGAAAACAGAUCAAGCAUGCAUAAUCUAUGGAAGAGGACAUCCAUCUUAUUCAAGGGAUGCUCAGAAUAGCUCUCAGCAGAACUGGAGGCUGAAGAACAAUACACCUUGAAUCAUGAGAUUUUGGAUUCUCUGAGUCAGCCCUAGAGUGGCUGAAAAUCCAUGAACACUGGAUGAGAUCCAGAUUUCUUUCUUAAUGACCUAUCUAGUCCAGACUGGCUUAGUUGUCCUUUCCAGAAAUGUCAAGAAUGACAACAGAAAACAAACCAACCGAUUGGCUACUUUUCUGAAACGAUCUAUCCAUUGGAUGUUGUUGUGGAAGAUAUCAAGAAUGGCUCCAUGCCUGAGUUGCUCUUUAAAAGACCAAAAGGAGAUAAACCACAAGGUGAUAGGUGUCAAAUCCAUUGUAAAGCCAACUGUAAAUGUGAAUUAAAAUUGGGUGACUAAGUUUUAUCUGUUUCAAGCUCACACAAAGUUACUACAUGGUAAAUUAACUGUUUAUCUCAUGUUCUGAGAAAUAGGCCUAUGAUUUAGUAAACCUAAUUACAAAUCAUCCUUGGUUGGAGGUAAAACCAAAAGAGUGCAAGCUCUCCAAUUUCUGCCAUGCUGGAGAGACUCUGAAAUUGUUUCUGCUACUUACAUGAGCAAAAUGAUAUUUUGCAUUUCUUACAUGAAGGAAGCAACUUGCAUUCAGAAAUAGUUGUAAGACUAUAUUAAACAUCAAAAAUAUUUUAAAUUACCUCUAUAACUCAUUAAGAGACAUAAGUGCAAAAAACAAUGUUAUUAUUACUGAGUCAUUUUGCUUGUCCAACUCUUUGGGGUUUUCUUGGCAAAACAUACAUGACUAGUUUACCAUUUAUUUGUCCACCUUAUUUUACAGAUGAGGAAACUGAAGCAAAUAAGGGUAAGUGAUUUUCCCAGGGUCACACAACUAGUAUGCAUCUGGGGUCAGAUUUAUGUUUAAAUCUUCCUGAUUCCAGGACUGACACACUAUAUACUGUACCACCUAGGUCCCCAAAUAACAAUGCUACUAGCUACUUAGUACAAUGACUUUAUACAUCUAUCUAUCUAUCUAUCUAUCUAUCUAUCUAUAUUUUAAGCCAGGGAUGUCAAACAUACAGCCACAGACCACAUGUAGUUCACAGUAUUCCCAAGUAUGACCAGAUUCAUAUUAAAAUGUAAUUGGGAAAUGUUUUAUGAAAUAAAUAAAGAUACAAUAAAACAUAGCUAAUGUUAAUCAACCAAAAAAUAUUUAUUAAAAAGUGCCAGACACUUUAAUAAAUAUCGGGAUUAUAAAAAGAGGGCAGAAGAGAGUCUCUGUCCUCAAAGAGUUUAUUAUGAAUGUUAAUCUGUGGUUUCCUAAAUCAAUAGGCAUGUCAGCAGAGAUUCUUAUAUAUGGUUCAGUGACCCCUGUUUCUACUUGAAUUUGUUUUAAAAUUUACAAAGCAUUGUCCUCACAAUAACUCUAAGAGGUAAGAUCAGGCAAGAAACACAACUUCAUUUUAGAGAUGAGAAAACUGAGAUUUAGACAUGUUAAGUGAGUUGGCUAUGGCUCUUACAAUAUUUCUGUUCUUAAUCAAUCCAAGUUUCCUGGUAAUAGACUGAUUUAUUUAUUGAUUCAGUAUCCCAUGAGAAUGAUUGUUCAUUGGCUUUUUUAGAAGAAAUGAGGAAAAACCCAAGGGUCCCUUUCAAAAAAUAAAAACAAUUUUUCUUUUUGUGUUAUAAACUUUUAGUCAUCAACAAGCAUGAAGAUCAAGAUAAAAGAACAAAAAUAUGGACUUCUACUAAUAUGUAACUUGCAUUUAAUUGUAUAUUAAAUUUAAAAUUAAGUGGUAAGCAGUAUAGUAAAGGAUUAUGGGAACCAGAAUGACCUCCAUUUAAAUCUUACCUUUCUCUGACACAUACUGAUCAUGUGACUGAACAAAAAGUCAUCAUCUCUGUACUCAGGGCAGCUCUCUAGAACUAUAAACUGCAAAGAAGGUGGCAUUCUGCUUUGGUAGAAGGAGUUCCCUAGGCUAAUUAAAUGACGGGCCUAGUUCCUAUCCCUACUUCUUUUCCUUUUUAAUUUUCCUUCAUUUUGAAUAUGAAAACAAAAAGACCAAAAAAAAAAAAAUCCCUUGUACUGACCACAACAUAAAAAGAGGGUUCAAUAUAAAACCAUGAGUUUUCAUUUCAUAGUUUGCUUUUUAAAAAGCAAUAACUAUGUAAGAAGUACUAUACAUGAUUUUCAAAGCUGUUCUGCUUUUUUGUGCUUCUUUCUUGGUUUUCUUUUGUUCUCU